rnacentral:rRNA from 1 species
CCUACGGGUGGCUGCAGUCGAGAAUCAUUCACAAUGGGGGAAACCCUGAUGGUGCGACGCCGCGUGGGGGAAUGAAGGUCUUCGGAUUGUAAACCCCUGUCAUGUGGGAGCAAAUUAAAAAGAUAGUACCACAAGAGGAAGAGACGGCUAACUCUGUGCCAGCAGCCGCGGUAAUACAGAGGUCUCAAGCGUUGUUCGGAAUCACUGGGCGUAAGGCGUGCGGAGGCUGUUUCGUAAGUCGUGUGUGAAAGGCGCGGGCUCAACCCGCGGACGGCCCAUGAUAAUGCGAGACUAGAGUAAUGGAGGGGGAACCGGAAUUCUCGGUGUAGCAGUGAAAUGCGUAGAUAUCGAGAGGAACACUCGUGGCGAAGGCGGGUUCCUGGACAUUAACUGACGCUGAGGCACGAAGGCCAGGGGAGCGAAAGGGAUUAGAUACCCGAGUAGUC